rnacentral:rRNA from 1 species
GACGAACGCUGGCGGCGUGCUUAACACAUGCAAGUCGAACGGAAAGGCCCUGCUUUUGUGGGGUGCUCGAGUGGCGAACGGGUGAGUAACACGUGAGUAACCUGCCCUUGACUUUGGGAUAACUUCAGGAAACUGGGGCUAAUACCGGAUAGGAGCUCCUGCUGCAUGGUGGGGGUUGGAAAGUUUCGGCGGUUGGGGAUGGACUCGCGGCUUAUCAGCUUGUUGGUGGGGUAGUGGCUUACCAAGGCUUUGACGGGUAGCCGGCCUGAGAGGGUGACCGGCCACAUUGGGACGGGGAUACGGCCCGGCCUCCUACGGGGGGCAGGAGUGGGGAAUAUUGCACAAUGGGCGGAAGCCGGAUGCAGCAACGCCGGGUGCGGGAUGACGGCCUUCGGGUUGUAAACCGCUUUCGCCUGUGACGAAGCGGGAGUGGCGGUAAUGGGUAAAGAAGCCCCGGCUAACUACGG